AUUGAACGCUGGCGGCAUGCCUUACACAUGCAAGUCGAACGGUAACAGGUCUUCGGAUGCUGACGAGUGGCGAACGGGUGAGUAAUACAUCGGAACGUGCCCGAUCGUGGGGGAUAACGGAGCGAAAGCUUUGCUAAUACCGCAUACGAUCUACGGAUGAAAGCAGGGGACCGCAAGGCCUUGCGCGAACGGUGCGGCCGAUGGCAGAUUAGGUAGUUGGUGGGAUAAAAGCUUACCAAGCCGACGAUCUGUAGCUGGUCUGAGAGGACGACCAGCCACACUGGGACUGAGACACGGCCCAGACUCCUACGGGAGGCAGCAGUGGGGAAUUUUGGACAAUGGGCGAAAGCCUGAUCCAGCCAUGCCGCGUGCAGGAUGAAGGCCUUCGGGUUGUAAACUGCUUUUGUACGGAACGAAAAGACUCUGGUUAAUACCUGGGGUCCAUGACGGUACCGUAAGAAUAAGCACCGGCUAACUACGUG
rnacentral:rRNA from 1 species